rnacentral:rRNA from 1 species
GACGAACGCUGGCGGCGUGCUUAACACAUGCAAGUCGAACGGUAAGGCCCUGCUUUUGUGGGGUGCUCGAGUGGCGAACGGGUGAGUAACACGUGAGUAACCUGCCCUUGACUUUGGGAUAACUUCAGGAAACUGGGGCUAAUACCGGAUAGUAGCUCCUGCGGCAUGGUGGGGGUUGGAAAGUUUCGGCGGUUGGGGAUGGACUCGCGGCUUAUCAGCUUGUUGGUGGGGUAGUGGCUUACCAAGGCUUUGACGGGUAGCCGGCCUGAGAGGGUGACCGGCCACAUUGGGACUGAGAUACGGCCCAGACUCCUACGGGAGGCAGCAGUGGGGAAUAUUGCACAAUGGGCGGAAGCCUGAUGCAGCAACGCCGCGUGCGGGAUGACGGCCUUCGGGUUGUAAACCGCUUUCGCCUGUGACGAAGCGUGAGUGACGGUAAUGGGUAAAGAAGCACCGGCUAACUACGUG